rnacentral:rRNA from 1 species
GACGAACGCUGGCGGCGUGCUUAACACAUGCAAGUCGAACGGAAAGGCCCUGCUUUUGUGGGGUGCUCGAGUGGCGAACGGGUGAGUAACACGUGAGUAACCUGCCCUUGACUUUGGGAUAACUUCAGGAAACUGGGGCUAAUACCGGAUAGGAGCUCCUGCUGCAUGGUGGGGUUGGAAAGUUUCGGCGGUUGGGGAUGGACUCGCGGCUUAUCAGCUUGUUGGUGGGGGAGUGGCUUACCAAGGCUUUGACGGGUAGCCGGCCUGAGAGGGUGACCGGCCACAUUGGGACUGAGAUACGGCCCAGACUCCUACGGGAGGCAGCAGUGGGGAAUAUUGCACAAUGGGCGGAAGCCUGAUGCAGCAACGCCGCGUGCGGGAUGACGGCCUUCGGGUUGUAAACCGCUUUCGCCUGUGACGAAGCGUGAGUGACGGUAAUGGGUAAAGAGGCACCGGCUAACUACGUG